rnacentral:rRNA from 1 species
UACGAAGGGGGCUAGCGUUGUUCGGAAUCACUGGGCGUAAAGCGUACGUAGGCGGACCGUUAAGUCGGAGGUGAAAUCCUGGGGCUCAACCCCAGAACUGCCUUCGAUACUGGCGGUCUCGAGUCCGGAAGAGGUGAGUGGAACUGCCAGUGUAGAGGUGAAAUUCGUAGAUAUUGGCAAGAACACCAGUGGCGAAGGCGGCUCACUGGUCCGGUACUGACGCUGAGGUACGAAAGCGUGGGGAG